rnacentral:lncRNA from 1 species
AGGCCGCCGCCCGGAGGCAGAAGCAGUUUUCGCCGGGAACGGGGUCCGGGCGUGCACGCCGGGAGUCCUGGGAAGUGUCCGUCGCGAGCUAACCGGCGACAGCGGCAGGCUGGGUGUGCACCUGAGCAAACAAGAUCUGCGUGCGCGGGAUCGAGGAGACUCCUCCUUGGUUGAUGAAGCAAGACGCGGGUCGUCGGAGUUGCUCACAGCAGGCCGGCGGCCCCGCGCUGCAUGUGCCGCCGGUCAAGUGAUCUGGGCAUAAACGCAGCGGAAAAGGAGCUAGACCUGAUCUGACGGAGACAAUCAGACAAGAUUCACUAGCAAUUAAGCGGCCAUGUGUGCCCCUCGGCUCUCUUUUUUUCCCUGCGUUAAAUGUCACUUGUGUAUGAGAGCGAAUUUGCAAUAUCACUUUCACUUAGCAGACUACCAAGCGAUUCGACAUAUAACAUGUCUAUGUGCAAUCCUGUUUCUGUUCAUCAUUAGCGUGCCAAUGAGAUUGAAUAAGCUAAGCUGUUGGAUGUUUACCACACGAUUCAAAACUGAAUUUUGUUCUAAGACCUGGGGUGUCAAAAUCCGAAUCCCCGUACUAAUCUGAUGUCUCCAUCUACUAAGCAUCAACAAGGCAACUCUUGCAGUCCCACUUUUGGCCUUGAGUUUGGAAUUUCAAUUCCCUGCAAUGCUGGAGUUACGUUGUUCUGCGUAUUGCGUGUGGUGGGGCUCACGCUGUGCUCGUGCAGAGAGCUUUAUGUCCCAUGGGCCGGGCUUAUUCGGACCUAGCCUUUUACAAACCCAGCCCAAAAAUGUCUAGUGUGAGCCAGUCCUAAAUGUACAAUGGUGGCAGUAGUUAUUUGUAAAAUUGCCUCGGAAAAUAAAGGAGGUGUAUGUAAAAGCAAUCUAAUUUUAUCAGGGGAGAGGAAGGCUAAUAUAUUUGGAUGCGGUUUUACUUCUUUUGUUGAUCGUUCUGCGUCAAGUUGCCUUUCCUUUUUCUUCGGGCUGAAAAGGGGUUUUAUUCCAAAAUUAUAGAAUUACAAAGCAGAGGCGAGAAUUCCUCGAUACAUGGAGGCCCGUGUGUAGCGAAACAGUGGUGACACAUUCAGUAUGACUAUACCUCGCUAAACAGUCCGCCACCCUAUUUUGAGAACGAUGAAGCUUUUGAGGAAUAAACUCCCAAACCUUGUGUAAGGCUAGAAUCUCCAAUGCCGGGUGUCCAUAUGAUGACCGGACUAGUGACUCAUCACUGAAGAUAGUUAGGGCCGUGGACGAGUCCGACUGCACAUUGACCGAAAGUUCCGCGUGUUGCAGGGCUAACACCAUGCCCUGCAUCAUAGCGUGAAUUUUCGCUUCUAAUGCCUCAUUGUAGUGGAACAAAUACGUGUAGGCCGCGACCAUUGUUGUAUCAUCAUGUUUCCGAAUUAUCAUGCAUGAUAUUGCAGUGUCGUCCACACUUGAAAAAGCACCAUGCACCGAAAGCAAAACCUUGUCCACCAUCGGGGGAAUCCAUUUAGGCCUUGUUCGGUUACACCCUGUCUCAAGGGGAUUGGAGGGGGUUUGGGGGGGAUUUGACUUGUAUGGGAUUUAAUCCCUGCCAAACCUCCUCAAAUCCAUGCCAACCGAACACAGCCUUAGGAGGAGUAGCAGUGGACACAGGUCUCGCCAUCUCAACUUCUACGACCAGGGGCAUUUUUUCUUCGAUCAUCUCCGCCAUUGAAAACCUAGGCAUGAUCAAGGGACCGCCAAUAGCUCCGUAGGAAUUACAUGCAAGUAGUAACAAGAAGGACUUGGUUCCCAUGCAAUGUAUCAUUCCUCAGUUACCCGAUCCACCAAAAUAAUAAGAAGUACUAUGAUGCGUACAUUUUGCUGGCAUCCAUGGAGGACAUAAAAGAAGCCAGUCCUGGCCAGUAUCCCGCAACAACUCCGUGGCCGGAAGUGGCCAGACAAGGCGCAUGCAAUCCCAUAGCUAGCAUUCAUGAUCACAUGUAACUAGAGCAUGAAAAGAUGAUUCAAUAUGCACGCCACACAUGGGUCACGACGAUGCAAAUGAUGAUUUGAUUUUCCUUUUGUUGUCAACAAUGCUCCCGAGCAGGCCUUCCAUGCGUGAAUUUUCAUCUUCUUUGUGGAACCUUUGCUUGCCAUAUCAAAUUCGACAACCUCAUCGACCCAUCAUUCACGCACCAUGUUCAUAAAAAAAAUCAGAAAUAUGGUUAAGCCUGCAAUUACCUUUAUGUGUGAUCAGUCUGCAUGAUGGGCCUUUAGGGGUCCACGGAUCCCGCCAUGUUCUCACAUAUACCUUUCCCUUAUAUUGACUACUAGAAAAUACCCCACGCCUUGUUGUGUGAAUCGUUUGCAAUAUAUUUCAGUGAUUCGAUUGUAUGAAAAAAAGCAUAUUUGAGUUAAUAAUAUAUAAACUAAAACUAAAAUAAUAUUUUAUUUUAUUAUUAUAUUUGAAAAAUAUUUUGAAUAUAAGUAGCAUAAUAUAAUAGACAACUUUUUCUUGCAUGCCAAGUGAACCUUUGAUGAGGUUGCAUUUUGUGGUGAAGUGAGAUGUGUGCAUGGGAUCAAGUAAUAGUGGAAAAACUUUUUCUCAUGCAUUAUUGUGAUGGCCUUAGAUGAGCUGGCAUGUGUGCAUGUUAAAAUAAUAUAAGCAGCGGGGAUAAAUAUUUAUGUAUAUAAGAUUUGUCUUUCCGUUGUGUACAGUAAAACUAACACAUUUUACGUUUUAGGACUGAUUGGGGUGAAACUUUAUUUUUUUUUAAGAAAAGGAGGAUGACCCCCGGCCUCUGCAUCUGGGCGAUGCAUACAACUAAUGACGGUUCGUCAAUUAAUCAAUGUUAAUUAACUAACAUGUAAAUCUAUUUCUAACAGUGGUGAAGUGAGAUGUGUGCAUGGGACCAACUAAUAAUGACAAACCUUUUUCUCAUGCAUGAUUGUAAUGGCCUUAGAUGUGCUGGCAUGCGCGCAUGUUAAAAUAGUACAGGUAGUGGGGAUAAAUAUUUACGUAUAUGGGAUUUGUCUUUCCGUUGUGUACGGUAAAACUCAAACACAGUUUACGUUUUAGGACUGAUUGGGCUGAAACUUUAUUUUUAUUUUUUUAAAAAAAGAAGGAUGACCCCCGGCCUCUGCAUCUGGGCGAUGCAUACAACCAUUUUAUUAAUUAUUAACAAUGACCUUAUAAAGUAAUACAUCAGUAAGUUUGAAGCCACCAUCUUGGCAAUAUCUGUCGUUACUCCUAACCACUUUAUGAAGGGGUGUCGAAAGUCCGAACCGAAUACCAAAUAGACCUCGCACCAAAGCUCAAUAUCUAAAGCUGGAGGCGCCAACCAAGCCUCUUGCCGGGUCUGCGACAUACACCGGUCCGACGGCGGGGAGGGGAUGCCCCGCCACCGCCGUCAGCCAUCAGGCUUAGCCCAGUGGCGUCCUUUGACAGCAACGGGGGGAGAGGAAGACGGAGGGAGAAGCCUGGCAGCUAGGGUUUUGGGGCACCCAAGUCGCCUGGGGUAUAGGGGCGAUGCGGAAUGGGGCGGAUGCACCGGCUAGUAAAUCCAAAAAAUAAACCUAGUGAAGUGAGGAGAAUUCCUCUGUUCAUGUAGCAAAAAAAGAAAAAUCGGACUGAUUCAUAUGAAUAAUUACAGCUUUGCUGCUGGUAAACGCAGAACCUAAUUAUAAUCAGUACAGUAGCCAACGACUGCUUAAAAAACUGCAGAGCUUCCAAGUGGAACUGAUGACACUCCAAUUUGCGGUUUCUUUGAACAUUUCGUACUGUGUUUUCUUUCUUUUGGUGUAUCACGUGUCCUCUAGUCAUCGCCGAGUCACCCGAAACUGUGUGAGCGAGCAAUCACCAGAUUGGAAGAUGUGGACGUCGAACAGAAGAUGUGCUCAGCCCGGUCAGCACCAAGCAGGCGGUGACUCACUUGCGUACGUAGCGUUGUGUCGACACUCUCCGCGUCAAACAAAAACCAAACCCUUUAGUCCCCACUCUCCAACCAAUACCAACAAUAAAUUUCUGAAGUCACCACAAAGGAAAGAGUUCUUAAAAAAUUCUGGAGGCGAGCGUGCAACCAUUUUCAACCGUGCACAUCAGCUACUAGUAUUAGUGUAGCAGAGUCUUGUGCGCCGGUCACUGUCUGCUGAGCAAGGUUACUUGCAGACUCCAAAGAUUACGUGCAGCUGCUCCACUGUUAGGCUGGUCAUAGUGGGGAGUAACUUAGACUAGUAACAUACAUAUAUUACUAGUCUAUGUUACUACCUUCAUAGUGGGUAGUGUUAUAGGUGUGGUAACAUAGUUGCCUUCAUUUAUUACUUUGUAGACUCAUUAUGCAUUGGAAACCGCUAUGUGAUGGUAACAUAUUAUGUUACUCUAUUUGCCUCUCUCCUCAUUAACUACUUGCCACAUCAUCAUUUUUGCUUAUGUGGCAUCUAUGUUACUACCUAUGUUACUCCCACUAUGACCAGCCUUAAGCUAGGCACUAAAUAAAUUGGCCGCGCAGAUCUCAACAGAGCUGCCCCCUAGGACGAAGUCUCCCCCGCCUGCCGGCAAUGCGAGAUCGAGAUGCGUUUGCCCGUACUAGCAUAUUCAGGAAAACCACACGUACAGACGUCAGCCCCAAAAACUACCAGUGGAAUCUUCAGGCGCGUGCAACUGUAAAUUACAGUCUGCAAGGUGCAUCCCCCUUGGCUCGAAACGUGCUCGGCAACCCCGAUGAUGAGACCAACUGGGAGCCUUAGCGCCGCGCGCAAAAAAUCUGUUAGCGCGCGCGCUGCGGCUGAUUUUGCGCGCCCGCCUGCGCUGGCUCCAGCAGCCGCGCUGAAAUGCAGCGCGCGCCGCUCCAGCAGCGCGCUAAAAUGCAGCGCGCGCGACUAGAAAUGUAUGCAUUUUUAAAAGUUGAAAUUUAAAAAAAAAACUAGAUAGAUUGCAUAGAUUAAACGAUACAAAGGUAUUUUACAUCCGAAACAUAAAUUGCAUAAAAUAAAAAUGACAAACGAUAAACAUAGAUUGCAUUAACAAAAAAAAAAACUACUCUAAGUCGCUAUCAUCAUCACCACUAUCAUCCUCAGCGGUGUCGUCCGAGGUAGAUAGCCAGAUGUCCAGCCACCGCUCAUCGUUCGGCGUGAAGAACGACCGCCCACCUGCUGCAACGAGGUCGGACUGCGCAUUCGCCAACGCCUUCCGUCGACGCCUGUCCAACCGCGACGCGCGGCGCCUUUGCGUGUCCUCCUUGCGGCGCCUUGCCCAGUAGGCUUGCUCGUAGGCGACGUCCUCCGGGUGGCGCUGGUGCCAGUCCGCCAUGACCCUCUCGUCCUCCUGGGCGAUGAGGAGGCGGCGUUGCCGCUCGGCGUGCUCCGCACGGUCUUCCGCCGUGUUCAGACGAGGCAGAGGGGCGAGGUUGAGCGCUUGCUCGAGCGUGUACACAUCUUGGAAGUUCAUCUGGCCGCGCGGCCGGCCUAGGCGCCACGCCGCCGCGUCGUACGCCCGGGCGGCCUGUCGCGCCGUCCCGUACGUGCCGAGGGCGAGCCGGAGUUCGCCGGAGCGUAUCUCCGUGGUGUAGCUGUCGUUGGGCCGCAGGCGGACGCCGCGGUAGCCGGACGCUCCUCGGCGGCGCGGCGGCAUGGCGGCGCGGCGGUGGCGGGGCGCUGGAGCGGCGCGUGGCAGAGAGGGAGAGGGAGAGGGGAAGAGAUGUGUGUGGAGAAGGCGCGUGGCGCGCGCAGCUUUUAUAGGCGCGCGAAGCGGCGCGCCAAAUCUUGCGCGCGAGCUGGCGCCUUUUCGCGCGCGCGCGUAAACGGUUUCCGCGCGCGCUUGUUUCCCUCGGCCGCUGGAGCACGGCAAACCGCCCCGCGCGCGCUAAAUGCUGCAUUUACCGCGCGCGCGCGUCGUUUUUGGCCACUGUUGGAGAUGCUCUAAACAACACACAUGUUAUGAGGCCAACUCCACCGCGCGACCCCAAACGGACAUCCCUUUUGUCCGGAUUUUGUCCGUUUGGGCAGAGGAUGGGUCGUGUCCGGGCCUGUUCAGGGGUGCGCCCAGCGCGCGGCCGCAUCCUUUACCCCAUCCCGUCUGCGUCUAUUUAAAAAAGAAGAAGAAAUAUUUCAAAUGCCAAGCCCUACGGCCCCAGUUCAUCACGCACGCCGGCAAUAAAGCCAGCGGCCUACACGUCCAUUGCCGGCAUCAGCCAGCGGUCGACAACACAGCCAACUUCCAAAAUGUAUGGUUGUCAACCAGCGGCCGGCAACACAGUCGGACUUCAAAAUGAAUGUUUUUCUCGCCGGCACACGGCCAGCGGCCCAGCGGGGCGGGUGGCAACCAUGCCAGCCUCCUAAAAAGAACGGCCACGGCCGAUCGGACGACCUAGUUCAGGCCGUCAGCGUCGAGCAUCUCCUUCUGACUGGCCUCGAACCAGGCCCUCAUCUUCUCGCUCAUCUUUGACGAGUCCACGCUCAUGAUCGUCAGGGCCACCUCUUUCGCUUUGGUGGCGGCAUUGGUGGCCUCGAUGUCGAGCUGCCUUUGCCUGGCCUUGACGUUGUUGGCCUCGAUGUCGAGCUGCCUUUGCCGGAGCGCCUCCUUGAUGUCGAGCUGCCUCUGCCGGGCCGCCUCCUCCAUGUCGAUCUUCCUUCUCUUGGCCGCCUUCUCCAUCUCAAGCUUCUUCGUUUGAAGCUCUAGGUAUUGCUUCAUUUGCUCGUCCUUACUUUGCUGCUUCUUCUUGUCCCUCACAUCUUUUUACGACAUCAUGCCAUGCAAAAUGUCAUGCAAUGCCAUGAAUGAGGCAUCACGAAUGUCAUCAACCUUGGAGUUGGUCUUGCCCCUCGGCCUCUUCAACGCCUCGCCAUCUCCACCUCCGGCGAACUUGGCCAUCUUCAGGCCUCUCUUCCUUUGGAGUUCACGGUAUUGGUCCUUAAACUUAGGGCAAUUGUUGAUCAUAGUCCAACAAUGUGUAAGAGUGAACGGCUUGUCAUUGUGCCGGGCCUUGAAUGCCUCCAAAAAUUGAAAUGCCUACACCAUAUGAUUGACAACAAAGUGAACAUGCAAACAUCUGCAAGGCCGAAGUCUCAUGGCCGUACCGUGGCUUCCUUGGCGCCUUACCCUUCUUCUUCUUGGCCAUUCCGGGCGGGUCGGCGGCCAGCCCGCCGGAGUUCGGCUGGACGUCGGCCAUGGACGGGGGAGAGAGUGGGACGUGCGGGACGAGGGAAGGUUUGGGGGGAAUGGCGCCAAAGAGGCCGGGGGAGGGGGGGUUUGCUUUGUUUCACAGACAUGUGGGCCAGGGACGGACAAGCGCGCGCGUCCCGCCCGUCCGCGCGCUGUCCGUUUCGCCCCUAAAACGACGCAAACUUGGGCCGCGGAUGAGUCGAAAACGGACACAAAACGGAUAAAUAUCCGUUUGCUCCCAUGCGCUGAGCCGUUCGGCUCUCCUUUUCUCCCGCGUGCCCCUCCCAGUCCCUCGGCUCUCCUUUUCUCCUGCGUCAGUGCCACUUCUGUAUGAUAGCAAGUUUGCUUUAGGCAAUAGCACUUUCACAGGGUAAACCAUCAAGCGAAUCGGCAUAUAACAUGUCUUUGUGCAAUCUUGUUUUUGUUCAUGAUUCAGCGUGCUGAUGGGAUUUAGCAAAGCUAAACCGUUGGAUGUCUACCACAGGAUUAAAAACUGAAUUUUGUUCUAGACCUGGGGUGUCAAAAACAGAAUCCCCAUACUAAUCUGAUGGCUAAACUCGGUCGACCAAAUUUAAAACAAUCCCGGUCAACUAAAGCAUAAUCAAGACAACUCCUACAAUCUAGUUUUGGCCUUGAGUUACGAAUUUCAACUACCUGCAUUACUGAAAUUACGUUUUUGCGUGUUGUGUGUGCAGACGUUAACUCUCGCUUAAAGCAAGACUAACGUACUCUCUCCGUCCGAAAAUACUUGCCAUCAAAAUGGAUAAAAAGAAAUGUAUCUAGAAAUAUUUUCUUUUUCUUGUUCGCUGGUUUCGAUUGAGUUUGCUUGUUUCGUUAGCUGGGUUAUAUUCGCAAGUUUUUUCUUACCAUUUUUUCUUCAUUGCUUUUUUCCGGUUUUCUGCUUUUCGUUGUUUUUUCAGCGGCUUUAUUCGUUUCUUUCUUGUUUUUCUUUUCUGGUUUUCACCGUUUCUUUUUUCACAUCUUCUUUCUUUGUUUCUUACUUGGUUCUCACUGUUUUUUCGGUUAUUGUUUGUCUUAAUCUGUUUCCUUCUCAGUUUUCAUUGUGUUUUUCUUUUUCUUCUUUCUUAGUUUCAUUUGUCUCUCUCUUGGUUUUCAUCAAUUUUCUUUGUUUUUUAUCGGCUUUCUUUGUUCCUAUUUUUGGAUUGGUUUUAUUUGAUUUUCCUUUCUUUUCUUGUUUUUUCUCGUCUUUCUUUGUUCUUGCAUUGAUUUUCUUUGAUUUUCAUUUUCUUGCUUUUCUUUUUUCCUUUUUGUUUUAGUGGGGUUUCUUUACCUUCUUCGGUAUCUUUGUCGAUUUNNNNNNNNNNNNNNNNNNNNNNNNNNNNNNNNNNNNNNNNNNNNNNNNNNNNNNNNNNNNNNNNNNNNNNNNNNNNNNNNNNNNNNNNNNNNNNNNNNNNNNNNNNNNNNNNNNNNNNNNNNNNNNNNNNNNNNNNNNNNNNNNNNNNNNNNNNNNNNNNNNNNNNNNNNNNNNNNNNNNNNNNNNNNNNNNNNNNNNNNNNNNNNNNNNNNNNNNNNNNNNNNNNNNNNNNNNNNNNNNNNNNNNNNNNNNNNNNNNNNNNNNNNNNNNNNNNNNNNNNNAAGGUUAACAUUUUUUGAAUACAUGGAUAAAUGUUUUUCAAUACACAUUUAACAUUUUGUAAAUGCUUAAUUACAAAAAUACAUGAUAAACAUUAUACGUGGUAAACAUUUUUGAUAUACAUUUAACAUUUUCAAACGCUUGACUAACAUAUUUUAAAUACUUAUUUACCAUUUUUACAAAUGCUUUGUUUGAUAUAUUUUUUAAUACAUGAUCAACUAUUUUGACACACAUUAUAUAUUUUUUGUAUACAUUUUUCAUAUACAUGAGAAACAUUUUAGCUAUACACAUAUAACAUUUUUCAAACACUUGGUAAACAUUUUUUAAAAUAUGAAAUGUUAAUUCUUUUGGUAAUAUAUUUAAUUAGAAUAUUUGGAAGCCCAAACAAAAGUAAAAAAAAACAUGCAAAUGUGAAAAAUAAACAAAUAAACGAAAUUGUGGCCUCCCGCGCACCUGGGCUGGCCCAUUUGGCCGCCCCCUUGACGCGAGGCUCCCCAUAAUCUCACUAUAAGUGAGACAUAGGGGCGAUCUCACACUGUGUUCGCGUAUAGAGCUAGACGUUCCAUGGGCCGGGCUUCUUCGGGCCUAGCCCUUUACAAACCCAGCCCAAAAUUUUCUAGUGUGAGCCAGUCCAAAAUGUACGGUGUUGUUAGUAGGAUGUUGUCAAAUUGCCUGACAAAAAGGAGGUGUUCGUAGAAACAAUUUGAUUUCGCCUCCAUCUGUCUGCCGCUUCGUUGGCCAGUGGCGAGGAGGGGAAUCUCGGUGCCACUGCUCCGGUUAGCAGGUUAGGUUACGGUUGUUUAGUCCUCGCAGGUCUAUUUGGACACAGUCAAUGGAGCUCCCGCGUGGAUUUCUGCCGUCUCCCUGGGACGGUGAGGUUAGGGUCUCUCGUCAUGUUACGAGAUUUGAUGGCAGGUGCUUCAGAUCUAUGCAAGAUUUCAACAUUGGUCCUUAGGGGCACGUAUAUUAAUGCUUUCCAACUGUCAUCGACAUGGUCAAGUUGGCUCUGGUAGGGGAGCGACAAUAGCGGGGCGUUCUGGCCGCAAUAUUGGUCGUUUGGUGGUCUCUGAAUCUUAAUGUAAUUUUAUUAUGUUUGAGAUGAUUUGUACUUUCGAUAAACUUUUAUAAUAGGAUAUAUCUGAUCAAUUUCCCCAAAAAGGAAGAAGAAGGCUAAUAUAUACUCCUUCUCUAACUUAAUAUAAGACUUUUUAGACAUUGUCGUAGUGUAAAAAUAUCCAGUUGCCUUUCCCUUGUCCUGACAAAUUGUCUUUCCAUCGUGUACUGUAAAACUCAAACAUACUAUGUCUUAGAACGGAUGGAGUGAAGCUUUAUACUUACAAAAUACUGAAAGGAAUACUAAUGAAGUGACGAGAAUUCUUUUGUUCAUAUAGAAAAAAAAAUCAGACAGAUUCAUAUGAAUGGUUAUAGCUUUCCUGGAGGUAAAAGGAAAACCUUUUUAUAACCAUUAAACUAGUGAAGGCUGCUAAAAAAUGCAGAACUUCCAAGUGGCAUGGAUGACACUCCAAUGUGCGGUUUGUUCUAACAUUUCGUACUUUUGUUUUGUUCCUUUGUUGGUGGUGUAUCACGUGUCCUCAUGUCAUCGCCGAGUCACUUGGAAAUUGUGUAAGCGGGCAAUUUGUCUGGCUGGAAGCUGAAGAUGUGGGACGUGCAACUGAAGAUGUGCGCAGCCUGAUCAGCACCAUGCAGGCUGUGACUCACUUGCAUACGAAGCGCAUCCUAUCAUUGUGUCGACCCUCUCCGCGUCAAAUAAAAACCAACCGCUUUAGCAGACUAGCUAUAGUCCUCGCUCUGCGUCUAAUAUUAAGAAUCAAAUUAUGAAGUCAUCACAGAGAAAAGAGCUCUUACAAAAUUUGUGGAGGCGAGCGUGCAAGCAUUUCCCACCGUGCACGUCAGCUACUAUACUAGUAUAGCAGAGUGUUCUGCACCGGUCACUGUCUGCCGAGCAAGAUUACUUGCAGACUCCAAGAUUACGUGCAACUGCUCCACUGUUAAGCCAGCCUUAAACAAAUUGGGCACAGAUCUCGACAGACCUGCCCCCUCGGACGAAGCCUGCCCGCCUCAUCAGCGAUGCAAGGUGCGGCUAAAUUUCGUGGUUUGACCAUCUUCGGGAUUUGACCCUUUCGCUACCGCCAGAGCUCCUGGCGGUAGGGUUACAUAGCCUACCGCCAGAGUAUAUGGCGGUAGGAUGUGACGGAGGGGGACAGCGGCCGUCACCGCGCGCUGACGUGGAUAAGUACCUUACCGCCAGCGACCCUGGCAGUAAGGUGUGGCUGGGUUAUUGCCAACCAGGCAUUCUGAGGACACAUGGCGGUAGGUUGUGUAACCCUACCGCCAGGUUGCCUGGCGGUAGGGUCCUCUGUUUUGUUUUUCCAAGUUCAUUUGGUCGCUUGUUUUCAAAUUCAAUAUCACAGUAAAUUUCACAAAUAUGACAACAAUAUCAUAGAUUUUAAACAAUUAAAUUUGGGCAUCACGUAGAUCCAUAUUAAGAUAACUUAAAGUGCAUAGAACAUUUUAAACACAUAGAUCCACAAAUAGCAAACACAUAGUUCCAUAUAGUUUCGCAACCACUAGACAAGUUCAACCAAACUAAAAGAGCCAAGUAUCGAAGAGCAUAAUCACUUGCUCCUUCCCCUCUUGUAGGUACGGUCCUCGUUACUCUUUGAACGAGUCUCUUCGGUCUUCUUCUUGGGCCGGCGAGGAACCGGUCUCUGGAAAGGGUUCGGACUCAGCAAAUCCUUCUUCUUCGGAUUCCUCUUCGGCAGCUGAGAUACCUGAGAUGUUUGAGUUGGUGGAGGUCCAUAAUCUUCAUCGUACUCCUCCUCCCCGUUGCUCUCAUCCUCCUCCUCUUCUUCAUGUGUGGCCUCCUCAUCCUCAUCCUCUUCCUCCUCCUCCUCCCCAACCAACCUGGACGACGAGGGAGCAUGGCUCGAUGAGGCGAUGAGAUCCUGUGUGGCUACAGGUUGAUAAGCUUCAACUGACCCAGCUCCAGCACACCCAAGCAGCCCUACGAGCUUGCGACAACAUUGCACGAACUUCUGCACUCACAAUGAAGCAAGGUCAUAAUAAGUAUCAAAUCGACUGACUAGAAGUGAACAAGAUGCAUCUGUUCCGAGGAGGCUGAAAUUGUACCUUCAUCGUCCCCCUGACUCUGGUCUCCGAUUGUACGCUCCCGGGAAGAUCACCUAGUGCAUUUGAGGCUUCAAAGAUGCAUUUGUUCAGCUCACCGGACUGCAACGGCAUAAGUCAGUCACGAUGACGAAUAAAAUAUUUUAAAUACGACCGUCGGUUCAAACUUACCACUCUGUUGAUGAGGGGUGCAAACUCCCUAAAUCCACUGUGCAUGUCUCUGAUGCCGGUCUGGUAUGCCUGUUUAUCGGGGUCAGCCCACUCCAGCUCCGCGAUGUCUUCCGCCGUCCAUCGGUGGGCUGGCCCGGUGGGGUAUUGCUGAUCAAUCCCAAACUGCGUGGCCACGCGUUGUGGCAAAUGCCACUCGACGGCGUACACACAGAUCAUGGGCACGAUGCACCGCCAGAGACCACGGUCCGCAUCGCACAUCACGUUCAGAUCAAAGUCCCACUAUCGUUCUUGUUGAUACGGGCACCAGAUUACCUAUUACAUAUACCUUGGUAAGUUCGCACUCUUGGUCAAUAGUGGAAUCAAAGAGAAAGGUGUUGGGCGAGUUCAUAUACCUGCGUAUGCGUCAAAGCACCGAACUCGUUGGUGUAGGUCUUGUACGAAGUCUUUUUUAGGCCCGUGUAGAGUUUGACAACGUCCCACUCGUAAGCUACGGUGGGGUUUCGAGUCUCGUCGCCUUCUUCGCCAUAGUCUUCCCAUGGGCGUCUUCGCAACUUCUCCGGACGCCCCACCGGCAGCCGCUCCCACAUCCAAAUGGAGAAGGCCCAGACAAAGCCACCCAUAUUGGACUUGUCUCCCGUCCUCUGCGUUGCAUCGUCAAGCUACAAAACAUCAAAUGAGGAUCAGAUAUAAGAAAAUGUCAUGGACACACUUUCGUAGGUAGGUACGCAAUUAGACACUCUCUUACCGAACGGUAUAGGUAGGCGAGAGAUGCCGUCCCCCAACUGUACCCUGCAUCCCAGUCGGCUAGGAAGAACAGAUACGACCAGUUGGCAGAGUUUCCGGAGCUGUCUGGAAACACGACCUCCGUGAGAAGAUACCACAGGUAGGCCUGCGCGUACCACUCCACAGUCGCCUCGUCUGCGCCUUCGGGGCAUGUCUUCCGGUGCUCCGAGAGCCAGAUCAACGGCACACCAGACGUACGGUUACUCUUAGCACCGGGGCAGUCGCCGAUGAGGGUGGUGACCCUCUCCUGCCAGUUGGUCCUCUCCACUCGACCGGUGAGUGCAUGACCCUCGAUCGGCAUGGCAGUAAUCAUCUCCCAGUCCUCGAGGGUCACCAUCAUCUCCCCGCAUGGCAGAUGAAAAGAAUGGGUCUCCGGUCGCCACCGGUCAAUCAACGCUGUCAGAGCUGCGUGGACAAGCGUCGGCGGCUGACGCUUGAACUGCAACACGAAACCCAACAGCCGGGCUCUCUUGAAGAACGGCGCGUAGCGCUCGUCGUAGUCCAUAUGCCCAUGAACCCCGUGACCCCUCAUGCGCAGUGGCUGGAGCAUCUAUCAAAAAUUGAACGCCAAAAGUUAGGAAAUUAUUUUCGUCAAUCCGAAAACUUGGAUCAAAAUUUCAUUCAUAUAACUUACCUCUCCGUUCUCUAUGAAACGGGCACGAUGACCCUUAUCGAAUGCCCAGUCCAGCAUGCAAUACCGUGGGCCGAUGUUGUCCGCAAGAGGUGGCCGCCUUAAUAAAAUUUCAUAAACAAAAGCACCAUAAGCAUGAAACAUACAUAAGCAAAAGAUGAACUCAAAUCAUAUCGACAUGCAUCAUAUCAAAAUAAAAUUUUAAGCAUAUUUCUCCAACAACAUCUACUACACAUGAUGGAUCAAAUCAUAUCAGCAUGCAUCAUAUCAAAAAAAAACCUCCAACACACAUCAUAUCAUCAUAUUUUUAAAUAUUUUUUUCCAAACAACAUCUUCAUAUCAUCAUAUCAAUAUGAAUCAUCAAACUAGGGUUCAGCUUCACACUAGAUCAUAUCAUCAUAUCAACAUGCAUCAUCAAACUAGGGUUCAUCCUCAUAUCAACAUUACAUCAUAAUUUUUUUAACAAAAUAAAUUAUGAACUAGGGUUCAUCUUCACACUAAUAUAUGAACUAUUGAUUAUAGUUCAUAUCCAAUACCACUAGUUACUAAAGAACUAAGAACUACAAUUACAAUCAAUCUUAGGAGAAAAAAAUCCAAUCUAAGUUAAAAAACAUGAGGGAUUUCAAGCAAAUAAUGCGUCGAAUCGGAAGCAAGUUUGCAAAAACUAAUUGGAGGGAUCGGAGGAGCUUACGUUUCUCUCUUCGGGGCCAUCUCGAUCCGCCAAAAUGGUGAAGAAACGGUGAAGAUCGAAGGGGGAGAGUGGAGGAGAUGAGAGAGGCAGAGAGGGGCGCGACUUGGGGGAGAAAAUGGAUGAACUGCCAACUUGGGGGAGGGGAGGGGUGGGGAGAAGGGAAGGGGCGCGGGGGUCUCGGGCGAAAUAACUGCCCGGACCCUACCGCCAGGGGAUCUGGCGGUAGGGUUACAUAGUCUACCGCCCGGGCCCCUGGCGGUAGGGUGCGACAGAGGAGGGACGGCGUCGUCUCCGCGCGCUGACGUGGAUAAGUUUCCUACCGCCAGGGUCCCUGGCGGUAGGCUGUGUAACCCUACCGCCAGGAGCUCUGGCGGUAGGAAAAAGGGUCAAAUCUCAAAAAUAUUUCAAACGGGGGUCAGAUCCUAAAUUUGUUUGGAAAAAGGGUCAAAACACGAAAUUUUGCCGCAAGGUGCCAUUUGUCCAGGAAGCAUCGGCUGUGAAGUGGUUUUGCCCGUGGUAUAUUCGCACAAACCACACACGUAUGGAGGUGACCCAAAAAAAUACCUGUCGAAUCUUCAGGCUUGUGCAACCGUAAAUUGCAGUCUGCAAGGUGCACCCCCCUUCGUCUGAGACGUGCAGUGCAGAGGCAACACCGAAGAUGAGACCAACUGGCAGCCUCUCGGUUAAACAACACACAUCUCAUCAUGAAGUAAUGAGCCGCACCCUUCUGCCCAAAGUUUUCAGCAUGCGGGAUCUCCAGCGAGUGGCGGUAAAAUUUUGUGUUUUGGACAUUUUCGAUAGUUGUCGAUCUGACCCUUGUUUGCAAAAAAUUCAGGAUUUGACUCUUUUUCUACCGUCAGGAUUCUUGGCGGGAGGGUAUAACAGCCUACCGUCAAGGUCUUUGGCGCUAGGAAACUUAUCCACAUCAGCAGCACGGCCCUACCGCCAAACACGCUGGCAGUAGCCUAUAUAACCCUACCGUCAAGGUACCCGAUGAUAGGUGCAAACACGCACUAUCUCUGAUACUUCAGAAAAUUUUAUGGUAGAGCAAGAACCCUACAGCCAGGGUCCUUGGCGAUAGGCUGUUAUACCCUACCACCAAGGACUCUGACGGUAGAAAAAGGGUCAGAUUCUGAAAUUUGUAUAAACUAGGGUCAGAUCUGGAUCAAUUUAUAGAAACUAGUAAGCGUGCACGUGCAACGCACAUACAACCGUAAAAAGAUAUUUCUUUGUUCAUCUUCAUGAAGCGGCAAUUGUUAAUAAAAAUCAACAAAACUACUAUACUUCUAAAAUAGAUUGAAUAGAUUUCAAGUAGUUGUCGAUGUGUCGUACAAAAAAGCUUUAUGACUACGGCGACGAAUAGGAAGAAUUUCCAUUAUGUGGAAGAUUGGAUCAUUUCUGGUACACAAAUAUGAGAUAUGACACAUGAUAACUUCAAACCAUAAAUCUCCCAGUCAUUGACCCGCCUUGUCACUCUUUAUGCGCACCGCCGUUAAGAUGCUCUGGACAUGUUAAUGUUUAGUUUAUUCUUCACAAAAAUAUCUCAACACCAAAAUUUACAGGGUAAACUUGACAAGCAACAUGCACAAUUGUUCUCCAAAGUAUCCCCUCUUUCAUCACGGUUUAUAGUCCCGUACCGAAAAUUUCAUGCCUAAAUGCCAAAAGAAAUAGUGCCAGGUAAAUACCAAGGGUAAACAACUGAUUUGAUAUUUGUGUUCAGAACAAAACAAAAUCCCCGGAUUCUGGUUAGUAAUGCAUAGAACCCUAAUUUUCAAGUAUAAAAGUUUGCACGCAAGAGAAAUUUCACGCACACCAUGUAAAUCCAGAAGAAAUUACAAAUGCUAGCUGUGCAGUUGUCUUACAAGCAACAUAACAAAUCAAAAGGAAUAGAUACAUGUAAAGUUUGUAGGAGGGCCUCUUCCAUCUUCGUCACAUUUUGUAGUGAAGAUAUGUGAAUAUUCCAUGGCUGCAAGUAGAUAAGACAUAUUAUGGGGAAAUAAAUAAAUGGGGCAUCCUAAUAGUUCGAUGGAGGAGUAGAGGCCGGAGAGCAAUUUUUAUGGCAACUUUCUGUGUACUUAGGAGGAGACCCAUCUUCAUUGGUAUCAACAAUAGCAGGAAAUUUAUCUUAUGUCCUACAUGGACCUUCGUUUCUUAGAAAUACCAGUACCUUUGUUUAUUAGUUAGAUCUUUAUAACUCAAAUACCAAUUUAGUUGGUUGAUGUCAUUUUCUGUUAUAAAAACACUAAGUUUCUAGCAUCAUGCAUCUGCUACUGAUUAUCAGAUAUUAUCAAUUUGGUAGGUUAAUGUCAUUUUCUAUUAGAUAGAAGAAAAAUAGCACAUUUUACCAUGUAAUCACAUAACCACAUUAUAUGUAUCUUUAGCAAACCUCUGUUUCACUCAACACGAAUUUUUUCCUGUUCCAAAGCUUUGUCCUUGGUCCGUUUUGAUGUGGGACAGAUACCUGUAAGUUCCAAAGUAAAAACUACUACCAAAUUAAAAGAGUUCAUACUAUACAGGAUGUCAUCAAACUUGUUGCGGAUUCUGUAUUUAAAAUGCUUGCAUACUUCCAUUCAUAUUUGAAAGCUCCAACGCAAAGGCAACUGAACUGAUUUUUUUUAAAUGUCUAGUAUAGCUAUAGUGGUUUCACAUCUAAACAUCUCUUAAAAAUUGCAUUUGUUGAACGGAACUUUCAUCUGGAUUCUAAUGAUAAUUGUUAAAUACUUAAAAAAGAAAUUUGGAAUAAGAAUUUACCGUUGAUAGGAACCCAUUCAUCCAGGUACAAAAUUCAGCAAAAACUGCACAAUGUUCUUAAAUGUACAACAGUUCUGAAUAACUCUUCACUGAAGCUUGCUCCAUGACCGAUUUCUUUGCAUAUAGUGCAACACACAAAAUAGACAGCCUCCUUAAGGCACAGUUCUUUUGUCAGAAUCUGGGGAUUCUCCCAGAAUCCGACCCCUACCCAGCUUCUCCCAGAUUCUUUGAGCCCCAUUUGUUUUACAAUCCUAUCUAGUUAGGGUCUAAUUAGAUAGGAUUGUAAAACAAAUGAGGCUCAAAGAUUCUGGGAGAAGCUGGGUAGGGGUCGGAUUCUGGGAGAAUCCCCAGAUUCUGGCAAAAGAACUGGGCCUAAAUCACCCCCCCCCCCACACACACGCACGCACAAGCACACACACCAUGAUAGAGAAAGAUGGUACCAGUGGUGAAGCUGUCGCUGAUGGAGUUGGAGCUCAAGCGCAGAUUGGCGUUACUGGUGUUGACUGCUGGGCUUCCCUGUCGGUGCUCGGGGAAGCCAACAAUGAUGCAGAGGUCGUCGUGGUGGCCAUCCACAUGGCUGAAGUCGAUGAGCCACGCAAGGAAAGCAGCAGGACAUGGCAAAUCUCAACGGAUCCGGUCGUUGGGAGGCUCUGGAUGCCAGAUCCGAUGCAGAGGAGAGCCUUCCCCUGAUCUCCCAGCGUAGAGGAUCGGUGGUGUAUUCCGCAACGGCGGCUAUGGGCAUACAGAGCAGCGGCGAACGAAGAGGAGAACGGCCAGCGGCGAGCCCGUGGAGCAGAAGAGGAGCAGCGGUCACUUGCAUCCGUGUGGGCAGCAGCUGACCAAGAGGAUUGCGGCCAGCGGCGAGCCCGUGGGGUAGAAGAGGAGGAGCGGCGGUCGCUCGCAUCCAUCGGGGCAGCAGCCGACCAAGAGGAUUGCGUCCGGCGUCAAGCCCAUGGGGCAGCAGAGGAGGAUCGGCCGGAUGCGAUGGCAAUGGCGAUCCGUGCUCACUUCCGUGUAUAAUUAGAGGAGGAGCGGCGGGCAGCGAUGGCGAUCCCGCGCUAGCGUCUGUGGGGCAGCAGAGAAGGAACAUCGGGCAGGACGGCAGCCCCUGCAGUGGCGUCGGCAGUAGAGGAGGAAUGGCGGGCGUCGAGACCAAAAGCGGUUUUUUGAGGGGUGUCGAGCGUGCAGUUUGAUUUCUUUUCAACGUAGUACGUGCAGUUUGAUGAAGACGUGGGCUACGGAGGUAUGCUUUUUUUCUUGGAGGAGGUACGAGAGGUUAGUGGCUAAUGGCAUGAUGGGUAAUUAAAGCAUAAAACAUGUUUGGUAUGUCGGAGUGAUGUAGACCAUCAGAUUACAUGAUUUGAUGGAUGAGAUGAAUUGGUUCUCCGCUCUUUCGUGCUUUUCGAAGAAAAAAGGGUUUCCCCCCGCUUUAUAUUAUAAAGCAAACAUCCGAUACAUCCAACUCGCUGGGGCCGUAGCACAGAUAAGCCUAAAAGAAAAACAACAAGAAGAAAGAGAAAUAAAUGCCGACACUGGCAGAUCAACAAAGAAGGGAAGUCCGGUAACCGCUACACCCUCCGAAGAAGUACCACCACGCUUCCAGCAUCCCGAAGUGCCGCUCCCCAAGCAACACCCUCAAGAGGGAGUGUGACGAUGCCGCCGCUGUUGCCCGAACAAGUUCUAGGGUUUCCCCCGGUACGCGAGGGAUAGUGGGGAAGGGGUAUACCCGAUGCCCCUCAGGAAGGUCCGACGGCGCCCGCAGGUGUCAUCACAUCGGUGCCGGCUAGGCCGACAGGGAUUUCUCCCAAUCCACAACCACCACCACUACCUCAGGCAUUUCGAAAUGCACCACCUCCUCCGCCACCCACCAGCUUGUGCCACCACGAUUACCGGACAACCCUCCCUGCUUCACUGGAGCUGUCAAAACGAGGCUUGGAGAGGAAGAGGAGACACCAGCCACGGGAGCGACCAAUACUCGACCGGAAGGAGGGGACAGCCUCCACCGCCACAGCGGAACCUACCGGACGCGGCGACGAGGACUUGCCAGGCCUUGAUGGCCCGGCCAGGCCCACAUGGACCCGGACAGUCCUGUCACCAUGCUGCAGCACGCCGGCCAACGAAGUCCUCACCGCUCGAGGCCGCCGCCACCACGGCACCACCAAGGUACGUCGCCGCCGAGCACCAAGCCACCGGCCCGCCCCAACCCAGAUGGGCCCAAAAGGGCCCAGAUUUGGGCUGGGCGGGCAGCGCCAGCCACAGCGCCACCGCGCCGCCCCACGGCUAAUGGCCACAUCGCCGUCGAGAGCCACCGGGCCCGCGGCACCACCACCGGCAGGUCGCACCGAUGCCGGCCGAGGAGCACCGCCACAUGCCACCAUCGUCCGAGCAGGAGGGAGCCGCGCGCGGGGAAGGGCAGGCCCGCCGCUGCCAGCACCACGCGACCGAGGCCCGGCAGCGCUCGCUGGCGGCGGCGGGAGAAGGCAGGGGCAGGGGAGGGGCGCUAGAAAGGAGCGGCGAAGGGGCCCCCGGUCGCCCCGCUCGGGGAGGCGACGCGGGGGUAUGGGGAAGGGAAGGAAGAGGUAGGGGAGCAGGCUCCGGCUAGCGGCGGCGACGGGCUCCGGCCGCGGCGGCGGCCCCGUGCGGGGGAGCCGCCGGUGGCAGCGAGGGAAUCCUAGGAGCGGGGCAUUCGCGUGAGGGGAGCCUCUUUCGUGUUUUUAUAGUGGUAGUAGAUGUGUCAAAACAUGAAAUUUAGCCGCGAGUGGCUGCACGCGUCGGGUUGCUUGUGGUGCAAGGUGUGGGACAAGAUCUAUAAAGCGUGCCAAGCUCCCAGUGUCUCAGCUACGACUACUGUACACAUGCUGCCUGUCGCCGUGGCACGCAUGCACUGCACUUCCCUAAGAUUUCUGUAUAUGGUAGCACCAGGGCCGGGCCAGCAAUAUCUGGGCCCUGUGCCAAACUUUAAAAUGGGGCCUAUCUUCUGAAGGCGGAGCUACAAAGAAAAAAAAUAGGUGGCUAGGCUAAAUGAGAGACCAGAUUAUUUUUCCGAAAUCAUAUAUAGUAGUAUUUUAGUAAUCCACAAAAAAUAGUACUCCCUCCAUUCCCUUAUACAAGGCCACAAACUCAUAUUACAGGUACCAAGAUAAAAUUUAAUGACUCCUUUGCAAGUCAACUUUUCUUUUAAUUAACCGGAAUCAUUAAUAUACCACAAGCAUGCAACGAAUGAAUGGGAAGAAAGUGGUGGAGUGUCAUUAUGACUACAUGCAUGUAAGUAUUAAAAAGUUGCUAGUACGAGGAAACAUCAUUAAAUUUUGCCUCGACUACUGUUGGUGGCCUUAUAUUGAUGCAAAAUGUAUUUUUGAUAGUGGCCUUGUAUAAGGGAAUGGAGGGAGUAGUAUUUCAGUAUAAAUAGUAAAUACUCGGCACCUUCUGUUCCAUUGAUUACGAGAUCAACAUAUUCAUCCCUGCAACAAGGCCAGCUCAAUGGUGCCUAGGAAAACAGAAGAGUACAGAGGGUUAAAGCCAACCUUGGUGCACUGAAUCACUUGAUGAAAGCCAUCAAACCAUUUCAUAACUGGCAGUAAAAUAGAAUGGGAAGUACACUGAAAAUUUGGACAGCAUAUAAACGAAAAUUUAGAUAGCCUGUGCACUGAAAUUUGGAUAACACCAACACUGAAUUUUCGGACAACAAAACACUGAAAUUUGGACAGCACAUACACUGAAUUUUUGGACAACAAAACACCGAAUUUUGGACAGCACAUAACCUGAAUUUGCAUAGCAAGAGGAAUGAAUUUUGGACAACAAUCAACAAUAUUGAAUCACCGAGCUACUCGUACGUCAUCAACAAGUUCCUGUACCACAUAAACUGAAUUUGCAUAGUAAGAGGAACUGCGGCGCUACGGAGUCUGGAUGAGAUCGAUUUUGUUUUGCCGAGGGGAGACGAACUGUUGCCGACUCGCCGUGUCGCCCGUCGCCAGUGGCAGGAUCUGUAGCGACGUGAGUGGCUUUUGCGAUAGAUCCGACGAUCUCGUUUCCGGUGGAGCAGCGGCCUGCGGACGAUCGACGCCUCUACUCACGUGGACGCAAUAGCAGUCCAGCGCCAUGCGUGGCCCAACGCCCAGGAGCAGCUAUACAUAGGCCUAUGUAAAAAUUUGGGGCCCGCAGAAUUUAUGGGCCUUGUAUGGGCCGCACAUUCUGGACAACUAUGGGCCCAACCGUGGGUAGCACCGCCUAGUUCUCCUUUCGUUUUUUUGUCUGCAUAUACAAUUUGAUCGAAGUCAUACUUUGUCAACUUUGACUAAAUUUAUAGAAAAAAAAUAUAAUGAUUCACAAUAUGAAAUCAAUGUUGCUCGAUGCAUUAUGGAAUUAACUUUAGGACGCGACUAACCACCAGCCGACUGGUGGUUAGCGACAGAUCCGCACGAUCGGGAACCUGCAUCCCUCCCCGCGCGUGAUCCAAUUCGGCAGCUCCACCCACGACCCAGACUUCUCUCGCUAGGCCCACCUCCCCCUACUGCGUCCUUCCCCGCGCAACGCAUCGAGGCCCAAUUUGGCCCACCUCCCCCCUCCUGCACGUGACUUACCACCCAAAACCUAGUUUCUUACCUCCAUCGCAAGAAACAGCCACCUGCCCCGAUCAGUUCUCUCCUCUCUCCCCGAUGCGCCACCAUCGCCGGCAACAUCGACGCCAGAUCAGAUCCACCAAAAAAAGGGAAACCAUGAAAAAACACCACCAAAACACAAGGAUUUGAGGGAGGGCCCCGGUUUACCACAAGAACAUCACAGGGGUUAUCAUCAAUUCGUCCAAAUUUCGUCACAAUCAGUCAAAAAAGAAAGGAGGUAAGUGAUUCAACCUCUAUACCCAUGCUGCAUUUGCAUUUCAUACCAAUAAAAUCAAGUGGGAAAAACAUGGGGAAAAAACAACAAGAACUAAAGCAUGCAAAAAGGUAGUAUUUUUACUACAUGUGUGUAAUUCCUAUGCUGAAAUUGAGUUACCACUCAAAUUCAGUCAGGUUACCAACAAAAAGAUUGACUAAAUUUCAUCUUUUACAGUCAAGUUAGAAAAUACAUGUAUGAAUUUUCUCAUUAAAACUGACAUACCAUCUCGAUUGAAAAUAGAUUACCAGAGUGUGUGCAUUGAGUAAUCAGCAUCCUGUAAGACUUAUUCAACAUAAAAAAAGAUCCCUUUCUUCCUUUAUAUAUUGAACACACCCAUGAAAGAACAAGUUAUCAUGCUAAUUCAUUACAAAUUACCAGGAAAAACUCAGAACCAAAGGUGCUAAAAACACUACAAGAAUACCAUGUGUUGAUUUACAUUGUUGCAACCAUUCUUUUUUGAUAAAAAAUGAUGUUCAUGAAAUGAGGUUCAUAGAAACUGUCGCUGUCAUACUCCCAUAUGCUGGUUACUGCCAAAACGAUACCUGUUAUAAAACAGAAGUUAUCAUUGCAUUAAAAGGAAAAAAAUGUAGUUGUUGUGAAAAAAUAAUCAAGAUUGCUAGUAAUUGUGGAAAAUUAAUUGGUGCAAUCAUAUGUACUAGCAGGUGCUACGACACAAGAAAAUGGCGCAUGACAACGUGGGUAAUGUGGAUGUCAUGAUGAGUGGUGUGGGGACAGACCAACAGUGUGAAUAUGCACACACGGCAAGCUUUGGUUCUGCCAAAACAGAUGAAGGUAAAACAUUUACCAUGAUACCACAAUUUUGUACACAAAUUUGUUACCAUCGUACUUGAAUUGCAACUACCACCUUAGGUUAUUUACAACUAUCACAUUCACCAUGAAACAGUUGACAAAUGACGUAGCUUGAUGCACACAGGUACCAUUAAUUUAGGUACAAUUACCACACUUACGGCAUACAAAUUAUCAUGCAAUCUGUAUUGCAAUUGGAAUUACAUGCUUUCACUGGUUACCAUGAAUUUAGGCAUAGUUACCUCACUUACUGCAUACGAAUUAUCAUGCAAUAUGUAUUGCAAUUGGAAUUACAUGCUUUCACUUUACAGCUACAAAAAAACAUCUUAAUGCAUGCAAACUUUACCAAGCAACUGGAGUACAAGUUACCACUAGUUUUGGCAUGCAGAAAAAUAUAACACAAAAUAACAACUUUCAAAAACAUUACAGGUGAUACUUCUAGAAGCAACCCGAUGGUUCAAGAAACAAGCAAAGAACCGACUACUAGCAGCAUAGGGGGGAGAGAAAGCUUCUUUGAUCAUUCAGUCAGCGAGCCAGCGAGUCCAGAAACAGGGGGAGAGAAUGCUGAACAUGGAGACAAAAAUACCGAGGCAUACUCCACACCGAAACCUCCUGAUGAAACGAUGAAGUUUGAUAAUUUUGAGGAAGCUUAUGAACACUACAGGCAAUAUGCACAGAGACAUGGGUUUGGAAUGAGACUGGAAUACAGAAAAACAAUCAAAGACAAUACUGUAAGUAGAGUCCUCCUGGUUUGUGGGAAAUAUGGCAAGCCAAAAACAAACAAGGAAGAGUUAGAGGAUGUGCAGGACCCAAAAGGCAUCGUGAAGAAGAGGAAAAGAGGGAAGGUUGUGAGGUCGGGAUGUCCGGCCCACCUUUACAUCACCCACACGGAUGCGUGGUGGAGAGUCAAACGCUUCAACGACGACCACAACCACCCUCUAAUAAGAAAGCCGUCCUUGACAAAGUUCCUAUCAUCACAUAGGAACAUUCCAAAAGAUGAGCAGGACUUCUUGAAGAUAUUGCACGGAUGCAACAUAGAGACAGCCAGACAGAUGCAACUAAUGGAAUGGUUCUACGGGAAUCCUAAAGAUGUACCAUACACAACAAAGGACAUCGCAAACCAGCGAGCUAAAUUCCAGAUGGAGUACCGCCAUGCUGAUGUGGGGAGCACAAUCUCGUACUUCCAAGAUAUGAAGGCACAAGAUCCAGAUUUCUAUUGGAGAAUAAAGCUUGAUGAUGAGGAUAGAGUGGAUAAUUUAUUCUGGAUAGAUGGUGCGUCGCGCGGGGCAUAUGCUAGAUACAAUGAUGUCAUCUCAUUUGACACAACAUACAUGAAAAACAUGUACAAAAUGCCAUGUGCACCUUUCAUUGGCAUUAAUAACCAUGGGCAGUCGAUCCAAUUUGGUUGUGGGUUUGUUCGAAACGAACUAUCUGGUAACUUUGUGUGGUUGUUUAAUGCAUUCUUGCAUGCAAUGGGUGGAAUUGCGUCAAAGAACAUAAUAACAGAUCAAGAUUUUGCAAUGAGGAGUGCUAUUGAUGAGGUGUUCAUCGGGAUAGUACACGGGAAUAGCCGCUGGCAUAGAAUGAAAAAAGCACAAGAGAAGCUUGGGAAGCUGAUGGCUGACAAUGACCCACUAAACAAUGCAUUCAAGGAUUGUGUUGACAACAGCCUGACUGGUAUUUUACUUCCCACCCCUCACUAUCUUAAAACACAGAAAAAUGGGCACAUAGAAAAUGGGUUUAGAUGCAUGAUAACAACAGUUACCAUCUAACAAAGUGACAAGUUACCAGAGGAUUAUAACAAAAUUACCUACAUUAGUUGCUUUCUGUACUACCCCUAUAAUGUCCAUGUUUGAUGUACACAUUUCAGUUGUUCACCCCACUAGUUACAACAAAAAAUUUCAAUCACCAGCUAGUCUGAUUGAUAUGAGUAUUUUUUUGUUGCUAGUUAAAAAUGUUGCUUGUACUACACACACAGAGUGGUAUUCGCUUUGGAAAAGAAAAUCUUAUACUGUCUGCAAAUUACUUAUCAUGAUCCUUCAACUAAAGUAACCAUGUGUGUGUGACAUAAUUAUCAACAGCAUUGGUGGUCCUAGUUACCAGCUUUGUUUGAACAUAUGUUACCAUCCUCCAAUACUUGAUGUUACCAUGUUUAUAUUAUGAAUGCAGUUGAGGAGUUUGAGCACAAGUGGUGGGUGAUGAUGGAAGCGUAUGGCCAGACUGACAACGAGCAUUUCCAUUGGUUGUGGGAGAACAGGAAGUGUUGGGUCCCGGUAUACUACAUGCAUGACUUUUUCCCGUUCUUGCAGACCACGGCAAGAAGUGAGGGAUUUAACUCCGUGCUCAAGAAGUAUGUCAACCCAAACAACUCACUGGUCGAAUUCGCACAACAGUACACUGCGAUACAGGAUAAGGUGAUGGCUAGCGUGUCAAAAGAGCAGUUGGAAACAGUGUACAAAGAAACCGAAAUGUACUCCAUGAACCCGCUGGAGAUGCAGGUGCGGGGGCUAUACACACAUAACUUGUUUUCCAAGUUCCAGGUGGAGAUGAAGGUGAAAUAAGCAUACAGAUGUGACGCAUUGGAUGAUGGUACUUUCAAGGCCAGCUCAGUACGCGGGAUAAUACCGAAAUAUGGAGACAGGGACUACCAUGUGCAAGCAAACAUGGUUGAAGAGACAUACUCGUGUAGUUGCUGCAAGUUUGAUCGUGACGGGCUACUGUGCACGCAUGUACUACGAGUUAUGGACCAAAUUGGGGUAUACGAGAUACCUGAAAAGUACAUCCUAAAGAGGUGGACCUGGGAUCCAGAGGAGGAUCUUAUUCAACCUGAUUUCGAAUAGCCGACAGUUAAGAAGUCGAUGCCAGAGGAGGGGAAAAGCGUCAUGCGAUACACGUCAAUUCUUAAAGAAUUUAAGGCAUCGGUCAAAGAUGCUUGCCUAAUAGAUGACGGGACCAGAUUGGCAAGAAAACACCUGUAUAACUUCAAGGAGGAGCUUGAAAUCCUGAAGAAGAAUCAACUUAAAAAAGCAAGAAAGGAAAAGGAAGAAGCAAAAGGAUCGUUUCAAGGACAGCCGGAUCCCUGCUCGAUACAUGUGGGGCGGAUGAAUGAAGACAACCCUGUCACACAUCACCAAAACGCCCCCGAUGCAAGACAUCUGGAGAACCCAGCCACACAGCAAACAAGUGCCACUAAUGUGAAUCAACAGGAGAACACCGCCACACAACAAGAAAGUGCUACUAAUGUGCAGCGACAGGGUAACCCUGCCACACAGCAAGAAAGUGUGCGGGUGACGAUACAUGCUAGCAAAAACAAUCACGCUUUUGUCAUCCAGCCCCCACAUCCUGAUGCAGCUCCAUCCUCAAACGCAAAGUUGAUACUAGACCCUCCAAGACUGUAAUGAAAGGGCGGCCAAAGUAAAAAAGAAAGCAAUCAGGUUUUGAGAUUGCAAAACCAAAGACAAAAAGGAAAUGUGGUGUGUGCGGGAGUCUGGAACAUGACAAAUGCACAUGCAAAUCUCCCCUAGCAAAAUAAAUGAAGAAGGUGCUAUUAAAAUGGAAGAUGGUGGCUGCAUUUUUUUUCAUGGACCAUAAUGUGCAAGUUACGAGCCCCAUAACAUUCCAGUUAUCAACAUUGUAUCAUAGAUUUUAUCAUGGCUUUGUAAUGCAAAAACAAGUGUAUCUCUAUAAUUUAAGCAAGCUAUCAGUACCCUGUUAUGCCAGUUACCAGCAAAUGUUUGAUGGGAUUGACAUGGAUUUUGUAAAUCCAAAAUUUUUAUUUCUUAACCAAGAUAUCAGUACAUUAUUAUGCCAGUUACCAGCAAUGUAUGAUGGAAUUGACAUGGAUUUGUAAAAGCCAAUGUUUUUAUAUCUACAUUUUUUGAAGGCUACCAGCACUGCAUUGUAUUACUUAUGGACAAAAAAUUAGUCCUCCUUGCACUUCUAAAAAUUGCUUAUGAACAAAUUAUAAUCACAGUAGUGAAUUAUAUCAUAUAGUCAGUGAUUUUGGACUGUGUAUACUAUAGUAAAAUAGCAUGUCAACACUUUGCUCCAUGGCAUUGUCAUGACAGAUUCAAAUAAAAAAGUUAUCAUCACAGUUUGGUAGAACUUAUCACAAUGUAGUAAAAAAAUAUCACCUCAUCACCCGCUGCAGAACAGAUGAUAGCGCCACUGUUUGCAUUUGUUUUGAUAAUGAUCUAACCACCUCAAUGUCAUAAUUUUCCGGAGAGCUGGAAUUUGUUCAUGAGUUAAGGCUGGAACAUUUUUGCCAUCCCACACCUCAAGGAACGUGCAGGCGAAAAAUCCACAAUCAAUGUUGAAACAUUUGUGAUGAAAAAACAACACAAAAUCAGUUUAAUUGGAGUUUCGGACCGGGUCAAAAUAAACAGGGAUGACAAACAUGUAGUUGGGAUGUUAAAAAGAGAGUGAGUAAUCCACAACUAACCCAUUUUCCUGUUUCAACACAUCAAUGUACACAAGUUCAUAGUCCUCGAUCUGCUUAUGCGAGUCCUUGUAAUUUUUCAACCAUGCCUUCUUUAUUGCGUUCAUGUAUCUUGUCGCAUGCUCGAGAAGAGAAGGACUAUCUUGGUCACACAAUGAAUCUAGAACUUCAAACCGCUUCGCCCUAAGAUUUAGUGACAACACAUACCAAUGUCCGUCAUCUGGACCACGGCCCAACUUUUGCAAAGCAGGGAAUAGCAGCUGAAAAAAUUUAAAAGGCAGUAAGCAUAAAAGUAGUUGGAAAAGAAUCAAAAUUACCAAGAUAACAAAUGGUCAUGAAAUUAACAUGGGAGGCAACUAGAAAAAGAAGUUAUCAGGGCAGAAAGGUCAAAAGUUACCAGUGUGCAUGAAACAGGUUAUCAUGACAUGAAGAACAAACAAUAUCCGCAAAUAACAGGAAGUUACAUGAUAUUAUCAGGAAGUUACCAAGACACUAACUGUACAGUUACCAGAUCCAUCAAACAUAACAUACCUGAUCCUGGUGACUAAGAAUGUAAAACUUGUCCCGUCGAAAAUGCUUCAGUAAACACUUGGAUUUGAAGUCUCCUAACAACAGAUACACAGAGAGCACCCAAGGGAAGUUGAGCCUGUUUGGCAUUUCCUUAUACUGGAGAACGCGAACAUGUAACUCGGCAAUGCUGGUUGAUAGUUGCCCAACUCCCUUCACACAAUUGGCAAGCUCACCAAGGGUAACCCACCUACCAUCAAUGUUGAUGACCCUAAGACUACAAAAAACAAAAAACAAAAAAAGAUUUAAAAAUACAUUUAAAAAAAGGCGCACAAAAUAAUGAUUUGUGUUAAGAAAGAUGAGAAAAAGGAUGGAAACAUACUCUUUAAUCUUAGAGUUAGAAUCAGUAGUAUGCUUGAUAACUUCAUUGUAAACGUACUCUUCCUCCUUGCUCGGUGUGAGGGUGGCAAAAGGCGGGAGCAGGUAUUUGGACAGGUGGGUGACCCUAACUUUCCGAAUGAAGGAUUUAGGUGUUGAACUGCAUACUAAAUGUUCUGUGCGAGGUGGUAACUCUGGUGUAACAAAUGUUGGACUUUGGGGGUUGUCUGGUAGAAACAGAAAAAAGGGAAAACCAUGAAUUAUCAUCAGAUGGGAGAAAGAAUUAUCAAGUGAUGGGUCAAAACAUAUCAACUGCCACAUGUUUUGAUUAUCAAGUGGUGGUCCAUAAUUGAAAGAACAAAGAAAGUGGUUUGUGCAAGGGUUGCAAUGUUCAUGGAGCAGAAAAAAAUCACCUAUUUGAACAUUAGAUUUCCCCUUUAAUGCUGGAUUGCCAUGUUCAAAUUCUUCCCACCACAUGAGAACCUCAUCAUCGUCAAUCUCAACAUCAUACACUUGCACACGACCAGCUUUCGGUGUUACUUAAAUAAAAAAAAGAGCGAUGAGGACAUGAACAGUAGUGAUAAACAACAUAAAUUGUUGCAAAAAAAUCAGGUAUUAAAAAUUGAGACAAGAUACAAGAAGUUAUCAGGAACACAAUAUAGAAGAUACCAGGCAAUGUGAAUGUGGAUUUCCAGCACACAUGUAUGGGCCUUUUAAGGAACAAAUUAGAUAACACUGGUGCAUAACGAGGAACAACUGUGAUAUAAACUAAUCAUCAUAACAUGUUAAAAACAAGACCAAAAAGAAUUGUAUAGCCCAGAAUUGGUAAAGAAUGCAUAUGGCUGGAGUUAUGGUGUCAAUGGAUCAUAAAUUGACAGGAUUUGAAAAUUUGAGUUACCAAGAUAUGUCAUAUGGAGUUAUCAGAGUGAUUAGAAAAAAUUGAAGGAGUAAUGAAAAAGUUCAGAUGAAUAACUACGAGUACAGUAUUGUUUUGUAAGCAUGACAAUGAAUUAAUGAAAAUAAAUAGGCAAUGAUAGGAGAUGUACGUAUCACGCGCUUACUAAAAGUCAGUAACAGAUAACAUCGGCUUUCAAAACUGACAAAGUUACCAGGGGGGAGGGGGGAGGAGGAUGGACUUAUCGUCUAUGUUAGCAUCGUACAAAAUAUUGUAGCGGACACAACAGAAACAUAUAUUACGGGUACUGAAAGCACAUAUGUUCAUUUACAUCACACAAAGCAUAGAAGUAGUAUUACAUUCAUCCAUACACACGGAAUGAUAGAAAGUUCCAAACACAUAAAUAAAAAGAGCACACCAAGGCACAAACCAAUACGAUGAACACUGACAUAUCUCAAUCCAUCACUCUCGCAGCAUAAAAGCAAAGACACAAGGUCUUCACUUACUAGAGUUGUUGGGUGGCGGAGCCCAAGCAACCGGUUGAGCCUUGGUAACUUUCGUCAUUGCCUUGCCCUUCGAGUCAGCAUCAAUAGGAGCUGUGAGCCCUAGAACAGCGUCAGGGCCAGUAGCUGGUUCUGCAGGUGGUACUUGAGCAGAGGGUGCCGCCAUAGGUGCUUCUGGUGCUGCAGGUGGUACAUGAGCAGAUGGCGCCGCCGCAGGUGCUUCGGGUGCUGCAGGUGGUACUUGAGCAGAUGGCACCGCCGCAGGUGCUUCUGGUGCUGCAGGUGGUACUUGAGCCAACGUUGGUGCAGCUUGAGCCGUUGCAGUUGCUUCAGUAGAUGGUGGCACUUGAGAACUCGCACCAAAGAUGGCAUCCAGCCCAAGAGAGCACCUGGGUGGCGUAAAAUUACCAUCGUAGUUUCCAGCUCCAGGAGUGCUCAACUCCAAUGCAGGGUCAGCUACUACUUCAAAACAUCACAAGUAACACACAAAUAAGGAAAAAAGGCAUCAGGAAAACAUGUAGAUGACAUUGUAUUUGUUAGUGCCAGAAACAAUAUCUCGAGUUAUCAUGUAUUAGACAGACAAGUUAUCAACAUAAGAAAAUUAAGUUACCAACCUGUGACAACAGGAUUAUCGGCAUCAUUCUUUUCACCUCCAGCUGUAGCCGUAUCAGUAGGCAUAUUGUCUCUGGUACUUCCCACAACUUUCUCAGCUACAGCGGAAAAAGAUUAAACACAUCGUCAACAAAAAACAUCAAAAAAAUACAAGAAACAAAAAACAAAUGUGAUGGCGAACAGAACUACCUUCACUUCCAUCAUGCGCUAUAUUAGGGACGACUUCAUUUUCGCAUUCAAUAGCUACAACCACGCUGGCGAUAUCUUCAACAGCAGCAGUAACAGUUGCCGCUGCAGCUAGCUGAAAAACAGCGUCAUCAGAAACACCAGCCAAUGUCGCCGCAACAGCAUCAGAUGCACCCUCACUAGAUGCUGCUGCUUUUUCAGACGGAGAUGUCGCCGUGGGAGAUUCAUCAAGAUGGAUAACUUCUGUUGUCUCCGAUGACGUUGUCUGUGACAAUGUUGCCCUUAGUCGUGGAGAGGAUCUGGUCUUGGCGAAUUUCACCUUUUUCGCUGCACUUUUAUCUUUUGAACGACUGAAAAAAUCGAUACACAAGGGUAGUAGUGAGAUUACACAUGUUGUUAAACCUGAGUUACCACAUGCUUCAAUCAAAAAAGGAUGUCACAUACUUCAGGUAUAAGUAGCAUCCAGGGAAAAAAUUACAAAGUUAUCAAGGACUAGAAAUAUAAAGUUAUCAAAUCAUAUGAACAAAAAAAACCAACAAUUAUUUUUGAAUAACUGCAAACUAGAUAGGUAUGUGAACACCUUUUUCCUGGUACACUUGGAGAACCCUCAGCAGCAGCAACUUGUUUCAUAGGUGCACUGAAUGAAAAAAAAUAACCAAAUGUUACAAGCACAUACAACUAUCAAGAUUGGAAACUCUAAAUUACCAGGGGGGCAAAGUUGAGUUAUCAAUGUUCAUCAACAUGAGUUAUCAGACAACAAGAACAAAAUAUCUGCUGAACAUAAACGAAAGUAACAAUUUGAAUACCUUUUCACUGGUGCAAUCCCUGAAUCCUUAGCAGCAACAGAUUGUUUGCCAGGGGCCCUGCAGAUGAAAAAUAAGCAAGUUGAUCACCGGCAUGAAAUUACCCAAACUACCUUACUCAAACAACUAUAUUUACCAUGUUGUUUCAGGCACAUAAUUGAUAAGAAGGACAUUGGAAAAUAAUAAUUCACCUGCAUGGGGCCUCCUUCCGCAAGGUGGACAGAGGGACGGAGGCACCGGUUCCCUUUUCAGCCACACGUAUACCAAGCUCCUGGACCACAACUUUCUUCACAGCUUCAUGAAUCUCAGAUGCUGACAGUGCAAUUGGUGAAGACGGNNNNNNNNNNNNNNNNNNNNNNNNNNNNNNNNNNNNNNNNNNNNNNNNNNNNNNNNNNNNNNNNNNNNNNNNNNNNNNNNNNNNNNNNNNNNNNNNNNNNNNNNNNNNNNNNNNNNNNNNNNNNNNNNNNNNNNNNNNNNNNNNNNNNNNNNNNNNNNNNNNNNNNNNNNNNNNNNNNNNNNNNNNNNNNNNNNNNNNNNNNNNNNNNNNNNNNNNNNNNNNNNNNNNNNNNNNNNNNNNNNNNNNNNNNNNNNNNNNNNNNNNNNNNNNNNNNNNNNNNNNNNNNNNNNNNNNNNNNNNNNNNNNNNNNNNNNNNNNNNNNNNNNNNNNNNNNNNNNNNNNNNGGGGGGGUGAUGGUAGUCUCAGCUUCUUGCGCCUCUGGUAAGCCAAAUUUUUCAAAAGCUCAGCACCGCACCGCUUGAUAGAAGAGUCAGUGGCCGCCUCAGCUUGCGUGUCUGUCAGACCUUGCUGGCUAAGCCCUCGAUCACCUGAUUCGACGGAUGCUGCAUGAGAUGUUCCAGUGAGUAAGAUCUAAGACUCAACGAGGUUAUCGCCGACAGGGCGGACAGGGGUGUCUUCAACAUUUGGUCCUGUGCCAUCAUGGGCUUUGACAGUUGCGCCAUCAAGAUGUGUGGUCUCAUCAUCAGCUGGGCCGCUGCCCAUGUCUACAUCCACGGUACCACUGCCUGAAGCAACAAAAGGAUCUUUAGGGCGACGACGAACAACUCGAUAGUCAUCAUCAUCAUCAUCGGAGUCAGCGUCAGAAUCAGAAUCAUCGCCUCCGUGAUAAUCGUCAUCGCUGUCAGAAUCUUCAGCCACAUUCUUUCCAGCACUUUCUGUCCGCCUGCCUUGCGAUGACCGCGUAGUCCUUGACGUCGUACGGGCGGCAGAGGAGAUAACGUUCAAUCCAGCGUCUAGCUGACGGGAUGCAUGUGAAUGGCCCUCAUCAUCUAAAGUGGUGAAUGAUUCCACAAGAUUGCCUAGGAUGCCAGCUAUGGCGGACGUGAAUCGAGCAACUAUCUGAGUUGAUUUGGCAAAUUUCUGUUCAACAUAAAAAAAUGAAAAAAGAAUGGAUAUAACUAGUAAGUUAUCACAAAAAAUGUAACAAAAGUUAUCAUUAAUAUCAAGUUAUCACAGGAAUGCUACAAUCAUCAUAAUAAAUGCAACCAAAAGUUAUCAUGAUAUCAAGUUAUCACAGAAAUGCUGCAAAGUUAUCAAGGCAUUGCACUAAUAAUUAUCACAUGGUUGCAUCAUAAUUAUUAUUUUAUAUAGAGGAUAUGCCACAAUGGAAAUCAUCCAGAUUAGUAAAGAGUGACAAGUUGGCAACAAAUCAGGGUAACCACGAUGGGUGCAAAAAAUAAUUUAUCAGCCAAUGAAAGAACAUAAAAUAGCAAAAAAAAUCAAGAAACUAGGUUACAUGCUCACCUCUUCACUGCAGCUUGGGGCAGUAUGAACACGCAUAAACUUGUCAAGACCUUCCAGACCACCAAACAGACAAAAAUUCAUGCCAAACUCAGGCUUCAACUGGAAAAAAAUGUAGCCAUCACAGAUAAGUAACAACAAAAAAACAAUGAAAAUAAAGUGCAGUUGCAAAGCAGACUGUGAACUGAAAAACAUAGAUAUAUAUUACCGAUAGUUUCCCGAAAGAAACUUUGUCAGCCUGAACAUCCUUGUUGAGGACAAGAGUUAUCAGCUUCUUUGUCCAUACAUUGAUGGGAAAAGGACCGUCAGGCAGUUCGAUGCCAAGUCCAGAAAGAUCAAUCGCAUGAAUGUACAAUAGCUGAUAAGAAAAACACAAGCGCCAUGGUAAACACUUACAAAAAUCAGCCACAAAAUGACAAAGAAAAUGACAAAUGACAAAAGAGAAGGUAAGAGGAAAGCAUCGUCACUUACAUUGUAGAAAAGAAGGCAACCCCUGGUAGGCUUGCGUUUCAACAGCGCCUUGUGCAGUUCAUCAGCAAUAAAUUUGGACCAAUUGAGAUUUUUAACACCAUUGAUGUCACGCUGCAAUAUAAAAAACAGCACUGAAGUUCACCGAAUGCACCACAAAAAAUAUGAAAGUUAUCACACUGACAUAUAGUAAAGUUAUCAGGCACACAAGAAAGAAAAUGACAUAUUCACAAAAAAACUUACCAGCACAGCAUACCAACGGGGGCUAACUUUGUUGGAGGUGGUCGGGGCAAUGACUGUAUUCCCCGCAAGCAGAAGCCACAUACGCUUGAAAGUGUCAUCAGAAUUUUUAGAACCCUUUAUGAGAUCAACAAGAUCAGUCAUUUUAGGGGCAUAUCCGAGCUCGCCAAACAACUCAAGCCCUAACUCAAUAUCAGUUUCAGAUGGGAGGUUGUAAGGGACAUCAUUCCCUCCACGCGGCACACCCAUAACACGAUGCACGUAUUCUUCAUUGACCGGAAGCCUGCCUCGGCCUAGUACGACCACCUCACGCGAAUUGGGGUCGUAGAGAUCAGCAAGCCACACACUGAGAUUGUUGAAUAGAUGGUCACAUUGGAUAUUUCGAAGGCUGGUUAAAUCCAUAUCAUCAAUGGCACCCUUCCUGUCAUCAUUCAUGUCCUUGCAUGCUAGAAGAAGCGAACUGGGUGAGGCUCUGUUCCGCGGAGGAGGGAGUUUCGCCUUUUUCGAAGGAACCUCAUCGAUUCCAUCGCCAUCUCCUUUACGCUUCCUCGGCAUUGUCUCCCUGACACAUAGGAAAAAAAGGAAUACAUUGUUUAUAAAACCGGUGUUUGACAAAGCAAUAAUACAGCUGAUAAAAGGAAACAAGCAAACUGCAAAUUGGUCGCACAUGCUAAAAAAAAGUAAAACAGAUAGCACAGGUAUAUAAAAAGCAUGUGAGACUGAUAAUUGAGGCACAAUGCAAUUGGUAAGUUACAACCAAAUUACUAAUGAUAAGAAAUAGCAUUCACACAUGCUCAUUAAUAACCCAACCAAAACAAAAUGAAUGAGAAAUAAGCGUUGUGUUGCAUAUAGUUAGUCUAGCAAAAACUUAUGGUAACUACGGUAAGAUGACAGAGGUAAGUGUAAAACCAUCACCAUGAUAAUUCAACCAUAACAAGACAACACUGAUAAAUAACAGAGUUUAAAGCAUCUGGUAAUUUGAGUGCAAUAUAGUUGGUAAGUUCAAUAUAGACAUCAUGAUAAUUGAACAGAACAAGACAUAACAAGCAAAUCAAGCAUUGUAAACAAGCUAAUUGGAGCAGCACAAAAGCCUAAUCAAUGGACAAACCGCAUCUAACAAAACCAACAUAAAACAACAUUAUGUGAAAAAACUUAGGGUUGCUUUUUAAAUCCUCAUCCACUGAUGCACAACUUGAAAUCCAUAAACACCAAACAUUAUUGGAUGCCCUAAACAACCACAUCCACAACAGUAACACCAUAACAAAAUCCCUAUUAGAACCAACCACACUUACCACCACUAAGACCUAUCCACACCCACGAUUACCACAAAAUUUAACCAGAUGUCCGAAUCAUAUUCAAACUGAACUUAGAAGGCGACAUAACCUAGCCUAAUAGCAAUAACAACCGCCAGAAUCAAAGAGUCCGAGCACCAAAAAUCAACGGCGAAGCAUGGAGGCGGAGCAACAGGAAAUACAGAGCGGGGCGGGUGGAUGGGUGGGGGAAUGGGGGAUGCGCUGCUCAACGUCGACUCGGAAAUUAGAAGCCGGCCUUAAUCUAACCUAAUAGGAACAACAAUCUACCAGAUUCGACGGCUCCAACCUAAAUCAAUGGCGGACCAGAGCGGCGGAGCAAAAAGAGGAAGGAAAACAGGGCGGGGAAUGCGUUCCUCACCGCGGAUUCAGACGCCGUCCGCCGCGAACCGGAACGAGGGGGAGGGCCACCAGCAGCAACCGUCACGCACGAGGGGGAGGGGAGCGAGAGGAGAUUCGAAUGGACAGCCCGAAGCAGAGGAAGAAGAAGUAGUGCGGGCGAACUGCGAGAGGGGGCGAGUUGGGAUCGUGGCAUUGGGCGAUAUGGGCGGUUCCAGUGGACCCACUAGUCAGCGACACACAGCGAUGGUAACGGCUACGCCACCCGCGCUGCGCGCACCAGGGGCGACGCGGGCCGUUGGAUCCGGAUCGGACGGCUAUCGAGUCGUGCGGAUUUGAAGCAAACGGCCAGUCGACUGGUGGAUAGAUUUAUCGUUAACUUUAAUACCAUAUAACUUUAGUAUUAUAGAUGUUAAUACUUUUUAAACAAAGUUGAUCAAACUUUACAAAGAAGCGCAUUCAGGUUACUUGUACAGUAUUUGUUUGCCGAGAGAAAAGUAGAGCGAGUACUCCCUCGGUCCCAAAAUAAGUGUUUCAACUUUGUACUACAAUUUUGUACUAACAUUAAUAAAAAGUUGAGACAUUUAUUUUAGGACAGAGGGAGUAUUUGUUUGUUCAGGGCUAUACUUGUAUUUCCGUUCCAACCAGUCGAUGGUAUUGCUGUCGUACUCGACUAUGGGCGCUAGCACACAGGUUCGGGGUACAUGGAGGGCGACGUCUCUGGAGCGACCUCUGUACGUCACUAUCAGUGGCCGGGACCCUGUCCACGUCGCCCGGACAUACAUGCUUCCCGUCGUUUUCGCCGCCGUGCAGCCACGUCUGCCGCCGGGCCACCCACCGCAUGCCGCCAUGGGUCCGUGGUCGGAGCGCGAAUAAAGAAACCGAACCGCUCCCUCGUCCAUGGUUAGCCUCGUCCGGACGGCGCAUGGUAUUGCGUGGCCCUGUGUGCCCGUCCUCGCCGGUCCGCGCCCGUCCCAUAUAUACCCAGACGACCCUGCUUUGGUUCAGCAAAGCACACACUCAAUCAACCUCCCACUCCCGACGCACCAAAAGCAACAACCCACUGCCAAGCUAGCUACGCGCACGAGCUCGCCAUGGCCGCACCGGUAGCCUGCGCCUUCUUUUUCGACGCCAAGACGGUCGGCGAGCCCGGCGUGCACUCCCUGGGCGCGUGCGCGCUCUGCACCAAGCCGCUGGCUCGGGACAGCGACAUCUUCAUGUACAAGGGAGACACGCCCUUCUGCAGCGACGAGUGCCGCCACGAGCAGAUGCGGCUCGACGCCGCCUGCGCCAGGCAGGCGGCCAGGGCGGCCGCCCGGAGGCAGAAGCACUUCUCGUCGGGAACGGGGUCCGGACGCGCGCACCGGGAGUCCUGGGAGGUGUCCGUCGCCAGCUAGCCAGCGAGAGCGGCAGGCUGGGUAUGUACCUGCGCAAACAAGAUCUGCGCGCACGAAGACGCCGUCGCCGUGGCUAACUGAUCAGCGCGGGAUCGAGGAGACUCUCCUUGGUUGAAGAAGCAAGACGCGGGUCACCGGAGUUGCUCACGGCAG